AAAGGAUGAGGCCAGCUUCCUGCCGGAUCUGCAGCUGUUUCACGACCGAAAUGGGACGCCGUUUAUGCGGAUGUGAAUUUGCACCGGUUGUAAUCGAUAAAGUUAGUUUUAACGGUGAGGAGAAGGAUCCGACGGAAGAGGGAAACGACGAGAAGCGAUCGAAGGUGGUCAGCGCGGAUGUUGCACUCGGUGCCGGCGGUUUACGACCAUCAGCAGCAUUAUGUGCCGGAAGUGAUGACGGGACAGUGUAGGAUGUCCAGAGGGUCCACAGUCCAUUUCUCCGCAGUUUGACGAGUAUUACAUAAACAUCCGGAAGAACAGUUUGCACCAGUUCUGGAAGGACCGUCUGUACGAAAGCCGCAGGUCCUGAAGCUGUCGUACUCGGAUUACUUCCAGAGGUUGGAGCGAUAUCCGACGAACCUGAUCAAGAACAUCUACCUGGAAUACCGAAGAAGUCACCGCAACUCCCGCCCGCAAACUCUCAACUCGCGACGGCGCAGCUUCGGCCGGAUGAACUGGCAACAUCUGUGCCAUUCUCGAAGGAGGACGAUGCGAUCGGGAACUAUCGGUUCAGGCGCUUCACUUCUCAGUCGGAAAAUGUCGACUUACCUUCCCGAAUUAACACCCAAUGGCCAACUCCUCCAAGCCUGUCCUGAUGUAACCGGCAACGAGACUACCCUGUUCUCUACAUCGCUGUCGCGCUCCAAAAUGCAGGCCGCGAUGUUAAGCAGCAUAAGCAGCAGUUUUAUUAUUAA